rnacentral:lncRNA from 1 species
UGCAAUCUACGUCAAGAAAUAGCAGAUCUGCAACAACAUCUAACAGAUCGAGUAGAAUAUUCUAUUAAAGACAGCAGAUCGGAAUCAAGUGAUGCUACUAAACUAAAAAUCCUCAAUCUAACCCUCUUGUUCAAUUGGUGGACAAACUUGCUGCUGAUAAUAAGGUUUAUCACGAAUCUUAUUUUAGCAGUUCAUUUCCAUGUUCAAAUCACGCAGUCAAGUAGAUAAAAUGACCAAAAAAAUCACAAAAUUUUUGAAGAUUCAGAAAUAACCCACAAUUUCAUAAAGGAUAUUGACAACUUACCACUAUGAAGUUGCAACCGUGGACAAGUAGAGCAAAAAAAUUGAAGGCUAUCAGUUGUGAUAGACCGUCGCCGGCAACUGGAAGGUUACGGUUGGGGUCGACGAUUUGAGGGAAACCAAGGAGGCGGUAAGUGACCAAUUGCGCGCGCGCGGGAGAGUUAUGGAAGGUUAGGGUUGGAUUGUGAUAUUUCUU